rnacentral:rRNA from 1 species
CACGUAGGGUGCGAGCGUUGUCCGGAAUUAUUGGGCGUAAAGAGCUCGUAGGCGGUGUGUCGCGUCGGCCGUGAAAACCUGCAGCUUAACUGUGGGCUUGCGGUCGAUACGGGCAUCACUGGAGUUCGGCAGGGGAGACUGGAAUUCCUGGUGUAGCGGUGGAAUGCGCAGAUAUCAGGAAGAACACCGGUGGCGAAGGCGGGACUCUGGGCCGAUACUGACGCUGAGGAGCGAAAGCCGUGGGGGAGCAAACAGG